GUGUUGUAAAAAGACAGCAAAACCAAAAGCAUUUACUUACUCAGUCAAGCCAAGUGUUAAUUGGCUGUCAAUGCAUUCCAACCAGGGCAACACAUUGUGAUAAACAGAUGAGUAACGUAAUAGGGAGCGCCAAGGUUACUGCCCAGUUUCUAUAAUGACAAAUGACUUUUGCUUUGGAAAUUAAGAAAAGACAUCAGGGUUGUAUUAAAGCUGUGUGAGAAAGCUAAGGGUUUGCUUAACUUAGACAUAGCUCAAUCGCGUUGUAAAUAUAAAAAAAAGCCUUUUGGUGAACCUCGUUCUAAAUCCUAUUAGAGGUAAGAAAUAAUGUAGCGGAAAAGAUUAUGAUUAGAAAUUCUAUCAGAGCUUUAGAACAAUCAUAAAGCGGUAUUCUCUGUAAAUGAGUCAGAAACAGGACACACACUGAUCACAGCUUGGUUGAUCAGAAUUACUUCAGUACAGUGAGUAAGUGAAGAACAUCGGGGUUGAGAUGCAGUGCCUUUGUGCUUGGCCUCCUGAAAAGAAUACCUUAUCUCAAGUAACAAUACCUUUAUCACAUGCUGGUUCUAUACAGUAUUUCACAAGUGCUACACUGUAAUUAGCAGAGAUGAAUAAUAUUUAAGCGAAUGUACAUAAUUUGUUGCCAUGCUGUAAAGUAAAUCCAGUUUCCUUGUAUGUUUGUACGUACUGUAUGUAUGUAUGUAUUUAUAUUUGUAAAACUUUGGACUCUAUAGUUCAAAUCUGUCCUAGCAGAGAGAUCCCCCCCCCCCCCCCCCCCGUUUUUAUUGCAUUGUAUACUGAUGUGCAGCUGCUUGUCCAACUUACUUUGGAAAGCCAUUUUCCAAUAAAAACUUU